CUGAUAACAUCAGGCUUUUGAGAUUUGUUUUCCUGAGUUUGUUCAGCAACUAUUGCACUAACAACACCCAUUGCAAGAGAUCCCGUCUGCUGAGCUUCUCAUUAGGUCUGUGAGUUACGUCCCAGCCUUAAAGAGACUCAGAGUGCUUGACAGUCACCUAUGGUGCCCAGAUUUGGGUGUCCGGUGCCAUUUUAGGCAGCUUUGGCUACCUGGGAUGUCAGUGCAGAGCUGGUAGAUGUGACGUGGGACCUACAGGACGCCCUCGCUCCGUGUGAUGGCAGCCAGAGGCCUGGCUUCAGCUUGAGAUCCAGCGUGGCACCAUGAACCUCCAUGGCCCUACUUGCCCCAGCAGGACUGCUCAAGGAACAAAUCAGCUUUCAGGACACAGGUGGAGGAUGGACCCCACAGUAAGGAGCUGGAACUGCUGAGCCAGCUUUUACAGCCUAACAGACAAAGCAAUAGCCUCAACAUGAGCAAACUUUGAAAUGUUUCGAUUUCAUGCAUCCUCACCUUUUGCCUUUGGUUUACAGCUCCCUUUGUGCGUGCAACCUCUUUUAAUGAGAAAAUAACAGAGGGCUUGGUAUGAGAAACUACCUCCUUCCAGCAGAGACACUGCUGUGUGAUGUUCCUGCUCAUGAACGUCAGCAAGCUGGACUGCAGCACUCCGAGCCUUGAUCAAAUGAAGUCAUCCAGAUCUAACGUAUUCUGUGUUGUGACUGGGAAGGAAGGCUCUUGCUUUGCCUCAGGCUGGGGGCAGCUAACAUUAAGAUAGUGCAUCAACAGAAAAUCAGAGCAGUUUAUAAAUGUGCCACUCAUAAAACCAAGCAGUUGCCUCUGUAGAUGCUUAAACCACUAGUUUUACAACACCCUGCACUCUUGUUGAAAGCCAGGGAACCUAGCCAGGCUGCAAGGACAACACCGUUGUGAUCUGACAGAGCAGACAGCCCUUGUGUUCAGGCUGCUUGCAGUCCCAUGUCUGAAGGAUCGUGCUGCAAAGCAAGUCAGCUACCUGCAGGAGCACAGAGAGGAGCUUAGUGAGUCGGACCAGGCUGUGAGGGAGUGGUGGAGCUGCCUGUCCUGCCUGUCCAGCCGAUGCUGACCCAGGAGCUUGCACAUUUUGGGGGCAUUUUUAUCCAUGUAUCUGAGGCACAGUGUUCAUCUCCUCACGUUAAUCUCAUGGGAAGGCAGGGCAGCUUUCAGACAGUGGCAUUCUCCUGACAAAGCCCAGCCCUCCCAUCCUGCGCUUUGCACUGAUGGAAGAACCAUAUCCAGAUGAAGCAGCCGGAGCCCCCGGGGAAGAUGGGCUGCCUUCUCCCUUCUCCCUCACUUACAGAUGCCACAUCCCAUCUCAUUUAUGUUAUUAAAAUGAUUUCCGUGGGGUCACCUUCUGCUUCACGCCUGAAACGAUCUA
rnacentral:lncRNA from 1 species